GAAAGGAGCCCCAGUCUGGACCCCAAGAGAGGGUUCUUAGAUCUUGCACAAGAAGAAUUCAAGGCAAGUUCAUACAGUGAAGUGAAAGCAAGUUUAUUAGGAAAGUAAAGAAACAGAAGAAUGGCUACUCCUUAGGCAGAGCAGGGACGGGGGUUGCUCAACUAAGACUUAUAGUUAUUUCUUGAUUAUAUGCUAAUCAAGGGGUGGAUCAUUGAUGAGUUUUCCAGGAAAGGGGUAGGCAAUUCCCAGAACUGAG